GGUGCCGCAAGGCUCAAUAGGGAAUCGGGUGAGAAUCCCGGACAGUUCCCGCUGCUGUAAGCUCUUCACGCCGAGCACAAUGCCACUGAAAACCUCGUUUUUCGGGAAGGCGCAAAGCCCAAAGGAGUAAGUCAGAAGACCUGCCGCUUGUCA
rnacentral:ncRNA from 1 species